rnacentral:rRNA from 1 species
GACGAACCGUGCGAACGUUAUUCGGAAUCACUGGGCUUAAAGCGCGUGUAGGCGGGACGGCACGUCGGUCGCUGAAAGCCCCCGGCUCAACCGGGGAACGGGCGCCGAUACGACCGGCCUGGAGGGACGUAGGGGGACCUGGAACUUCCGGUGGAGCGGUGAAAUGCGUUGAGAUCGGAAGGAACGCCCGUGGCGAAAGCGAGGUCCUGGACGUUUUCUGACGCUGAGGCGCGAAAGCUAGGGGAGCAAACAGG